UACAGAGGUCCCAAGCGUUGUUCGGAUUCACUGGGCGUAAAGGGUGCGUAGGUGGUGAGGUAAGUCGGAUGUGAAAGCUCCGAGCUCAACUCGGAAAUGGCAUUGGAAACUACCUUGCUCGAGGGCUUGAGGGGGGACUGGAAUACUUGGUGUAGCAGUGAAAUGCGUAGAUAUCAAGUAGAACACCAGUGGCGAAGGCGAGUCCCUGGAAAACUCCUGACACUGAGGCACGAAAGCUAGGGGAGCAAACAGG
rnacentral:rRNA from 1 species